UGAGGAAUAUUGGUCAAUGGCCGUAAGGCUGAACCAGCCAAGUAGCGUGAGGGAAGACUGCCCUAUGGGUUGUAAACCUCUUUUAUGCGGGGAUAAAGGUGUCCACGUGUGGAUGUUUGCAGGUACCGCAUGAAUAAGGACCGGCUAAUUCCGUGCCAGCAGCCGCGGUAAUACGGAAGGUCCGGGCGUUAUCCGGAUUUAUUGGGUUUAAAGGGAGCGUAGGCCGGUCUUUAAGCGUGCCGUGAAAUUUUGUGGCUCAACCAUGAGAGUGCGGCGCGAACUGGAGACCUUGAGUGCGCGGAAGGCAGGCGGAAUUCGUGGUGUAGCGGUGAAAUGCUUAGAUAUCACGAAGAACCCCGAUUGCGAAGGCAGCCUGCCGCAGCGUUACUGACGCUGAAGCUCGAAAGCGCGGGUAUCGAACAGG
rnacentral:rRNA from 2 species